rnacentral:sRNA from 1 species
GCCAGGAGUGGUGGCACAUGCCUGUAAUCCCAACAGCUUGGGAGGCUGAGGCAGGAGGAUUGUGAGUUCAAAGCCAACCUCAACAAAAGUGAGGUACAACUCAGUGAGAUCCUGUCUCUA